rnacentral:misc_RNA from 1 species
GUGAAUCAUCAAAUUUUUGAACGCAAAUUGCACUCUCUGGCAUUCCGGGGAGUAUUCCUGUUUGAGGGUCAGGAUAAUCAAAAUCGGAGCGAUGCCUUUUUGGUUACGCACCGGAGUUUGGGUCAUCUUAACUCUUUUUUUUAAGAGACCUAAAAUUAACAUUCUUUUUUUCUUACUUUUGAGACGUACAUAAUUUUUUUUUUUUCUUCUAGCCUGGGGGCAAAAAUUUUACUAGAUCUGGAAUCCAU